UAUUUUUCAUCGAUUAAAUAAAGUACCACCACUCAAGAGUUUCAUAAAGAAGUUCUAGACUAGACACACCUUUAAAAAAAAUUAAUGAGGAAUAAAAUCAAGUAAACAAAGCAAAUCUAGCUUAGAAAGGAAGUUAAAGAAGAAAGGCUGGUAAACAACUCUUGGCAUGCUUGGCACGCAAAUUGAGCCGACCUAGUCCGAAAUUGAGCCAACC
rnacentral:lncRNA from 1 species